UCUUACACACAACCUCAAAGUUCUUGGCAAGCUGAGGUACAUCUUCAUUGCUGUCAUCUUCCACAACUAUCAUGAGUGGCACAGAAAUUUACUUUUCAAUAUAAAAUGAAGAUCUAGCGGAGAGAAUUUCCUGAAACAAAAGUCAACAAACAUGAAGGGUCCUUGUGCCAGGAACCACGGUGGGGACUUUCACAUAAGAUGAAACAUUUAAUACUUAUAGAAAUUGGAUACCUAUAAACCAUGUGUUGUAUUGGAACAAUGUCGUAAUUGAUAAUUGAGAAAAAGUGAUAUUCAGAGAGUGAGCCAAGGAACUCUGAACAACCCCAAUAUACCUCUAUAUAUUCCCAAAGCACAAAUCCCAGUUUAAAAAGCACAGGCAAGAACUGUUUUGAUAUUUCCUUCAACAUUUCAGCAACAGUUUUAAAUAAUAAGACACUGUACUAGGCACUCUGGGACAAAGAUGAUUAAGAUGCUUACACUGAAUCCUCAAUUCCAAAUGUCUCCCUCCAUCUUGCAAAAGCUAGAAGACUUAGGACUCAACUUAAAAGCUACUGCCACCAAUAGACCUUUCUGAUUAUCCUAGUCUGAAAUAUUCUUUCUUAGGGGACCCUUUAGAUUUCAUUUUAACCACUCAUGGUACAUUUGUACACACAUCUCUUUUUGAUUUCUAGAAUAGACACUCCUUAAGGGUAGGGUCAUUGCUUAUGCAUGACUUUAUCUCCAUAACGUCUUGUAUAUUUGGGAAUAGUGAGGUGAGGAGUUAAGGACAGACAGUAUCAUCCAAGUCUGCAGUCAUGCUGGAUUUAAAUUUAAGAUCUACCACUCAUUUUAGAUAUGUAAUAUGGAGUAAGUUUACUUAGCUUCUCUCUGGUUUGACUUUAAACCAGAAAUAAUACUUAUGUGUACCUCUUGAUGUUAGAAUUAAAUUUAGAGAUCAGUUACAGCAGUGCUUGGCCUAUGGUAAUCACCCCAUAAACAUUAUAAUUCUUAUCUGCCAGCUAUUAUGAGUUAUCAGAUGGCAAAUGUUUAGCAAAGUGUACAGCACAGAGUAAAAAUUUUGGAAUAAAUAAACAAAUUUAUGUUUUGUACAUUCUACAGAUGAUUUACAACACAGUGAUCCCUUAGUAUCUAUGGAAGAAUUGCUCCAGCACUUCAGCCCACACUUUAUGGAUAGGAAAAAUCUAUGGAUGCUCAAGUCAAAUUACAGUAUUUGCAUAUAACCUACACAUAACCUCCUACAUACUUUAAAUCAUUUCCAGAUUACUUGUAAUAUCUAAUGUGAUGUAAAUGUUGUAUAGCUGUUAUAUUGUAUUGUUUAGGAAAUAAUGACAAGAAGAAAAGCUUUGAUUAUAUUCAAUUUUCCCCUAAAUAUUUUCAACUUGCAGUUGGCUGAAUCUAUGGAUGUGGAACCAAUGGAUGUAGCACUAUAUAUUAAAGAAUGAAGGCAAUAUUUCAGGUUAAAAAUACUUGAUUCUUGAAAUUAGACGAAUGCAAGAGCCUUUUUCAAAAUUUUUCAUUAUAGGAAACACAGCAGACUCAAAUCAGCAAAGACUGUUUGUAUGUCUUGUUUAGGGGGACUCAUGAAAGACUACAGAUCAGAAUGGUGUUGGGAGAGGUAUCUAAUGAGGCAACACAAUAAAUUUUAUGCAAAAUUUUCUUCCUCUAAUCAUUUUUCUGAGAGUAUCCACAGCUUUCACCAGUUUACCCAAGAGAUCAACCUCUGUUGUCCCAACUCCAUCACUAUCUGCCUUUUAUAGACUUAAUUUUUUUUAACGGUAAGAGACUUGAAAUAAUGAAUCUCUACAAUCUUCAAGCUCCAAAAUCUUUGGUUAUGUGCUUCAUAGCAAGCUUUUUAAAAGGCACGACAAUGUUUAAAAAUAAAAAUA